ensembl:lncRNA
GUUCUCGGGGACUGUACCAGGCUCCUGGCCCUUCCAUGUGGGCUUCUCCCCCAUCUCUCCUUCUUGGAUGCCAUGAGUUGAGCAGCUUUCCUCUGCUACACUUUGCAACAUGAUGUUUUUGCCCUGCAAGCAGCCAACCAUGGACUGAAACACCUGGAACCGUUUCCAGAUGAAGUGAUUUGUGCAUUCUGUUGAGGAAACCAAGCAGGGCUGAGGAUGGGUGGUAAUAGCAUUGCAUCUCAUCACCACUCUUACUGGGACAAGAAGCACGAGUGCUUCAACUGUGUAACAAGAUUAACUGCUUCAUCUACUAGUCAAGUGAUCAUAAACGAAAAAGGAAGAAGAACCAACAACAAACAACAAAUACAAAAGAGAAUCCUUUACCUGCCAUCUCACAGUUUAUGGAAAAUGAUGUCUUUCCCAGAACAAGCCCAGAGUUAGAUGAUUAUUAUUAUUUUUUUUUUCUUUUCUGUGCUGGAGCUCUAACUCUGAGCCUGGCACAUGGUCCUGAUGCGCUCUAUCAGUGAGUGACACCCCAGCAGCCCACACCCAUGGAUUCCUGGCUGUACUAUCUUGUCAUGACUCUAAAAUCUCUCUGUCCUGACUUUGCUGGGUGACCUGAGGCCAGCACCUCCUACAUACCUGCCACAGCUGCUGGAGUCGUUUGCUGACACUGGUAUUCUCCGUAGGGAAAGAGAUAUCCCUUCUUAGCAGUGUGAAAGCUUUCCCAGCAGCAGCCGGCAGCCUUCCUCUUUCAUCCACCUGAUUGGAGUGGUGUCACCUAGCCGUGGCUAAAUAAUCAUCAGUGAGGAGGCGGAGACUGCUGGAGUAGCCUACAACUGAUGACAGUUCACCACCAGCUGGAAAUCCAGUCCCACAAGGCCAGUUACUGCUACAAUUGUGUAGUUUAAAUUAAGAAAGAAAGGGAUGGCGGGUGUUGAAUAGUCUCCUAACAGCACAGCUGGGCUACUCAAACCUUGAAACUAGUUUAAAAAAUAAAUGACAUGUGUAGCUCAAAGCUGCACAGACAAAUGGAGUGCCCCGGAAAUCGAUUGUGCUGCUGCCCAGGAACUGCUGGCUCAAUCACAGCUCUGCCAGUUGAGUGUUGACAAACAAUAGCCAGGCUGUGCUUGCUUGGGCCUUCUCUGAUGUGACAACAUAUGGCAGCACCACAAGUGAUGGUGGACGGGAAAUUGCUAUUUAUAACCUCAAGUAGAGAGACAGGCUACAGUGCCAGGAGUCGGUGUGUCUCGGCAGCGCAGGUGGCCUCUGCUCUCUGGACAGAAGGCACCAUUCAGGGCAGAAGCAACCUACUGGUUCCACAAGCUGAGUUUUUUCCUCUCUUAGGGUCUGUUUUGAAGUGGAAAUGGAUGAGGAGGUGGCUGGAGAACAGGAUUUAUGUUUCAGAGAGGACCAUUCUCUCAGCCAAACAAUCAUCAGAUUGUUGAGAAUUUGGAGUGAAGAUUUCUUUUAUACUAGUAAUGUAAAAUAUUGG